UGGGGAAUAUUGGACAAUGGGGGCAACCCUGAUCCAGCCAUGCCGCGUGAGUGAAGAAGGCCUUCGGGUUGUAAAGCUCUUUUGGCGGGGACGAUGAUGACGGUACCCGCAGAAUAAGCCCCGGCUAACUUCGUGCCAGCAGCCGCGGUAAGACGAAGGGGGCUAGCGUUGUUCGGAAUUACUGGGCGUAAAGGGCGCGUAGGCGGUCUUGUUAGUCAGGCGUGAAAGCCCUGGGCUUAACCUGGGAGGUGCGCUUGAUACUGCAAGGCUUGAGUGCAGGAGAGGAUGGUGGAAUUCCCAGUGUAGAGGUGAAAUUCGUAGAUAUUGGGAAGAACACCGGUGGCGAAGGCGGCCAUCUGGACUGCAACUGACGCUGAGGCGCGAAAGCGUGGGGAGCAAACAGG
rnacentral:rRNA from 1 species